rnacentral:rRNA from 1 species
UACGUAGGUGGCAAGCGUUGUCCGGAAUUAUUGGGCGUAAAGCGCGCGCAGGCGGCCUCUUGAGUCUGAUGUGAAAGCCCCCGGCUCAACCGGGGAGGCCAUUGGAAACUGGGAGGCUUGAGUAUAGGAGAGAAGAGUGGAAUUCCACGUGUAGCGGUGAAAUGCGUGAGAGAUGUGGAGGAACACCAGUGGCGAAGGCGAACUCUU